CCUACGGGAGGCAGCAGUGAGGAAUAUUGGUCAAUGACCGGAAGGCUGAACCAGCCAAGCCGCGUGAAGGACGAAGGUGCCAAGCAUUGUAAACUUCUUUUGUCCAGGGACAAAAUCAGGCUCGAGAGCCUGACCGAGGGUCCUUGAAGAAAAAGCAUCGGCUAACUCCGUUCCAGCAGCCGCGGUAAUACGGAGGAUGCGGGCGUUAUCCGGAGUUAUUGGGUUUAAAGGGUGAGUAGUCGGGCUGUUAAGUCAGCGGUAAAAGCCCGGGGCUCAACCCCGGCGAGCCGUUGAACCUGGAGGUCUUGAGAUGUCGAGAGGUAGGCGGAAUGCGCAGUGUAGCGGUGAAAUGCUUAGAUAUCACGCAGAACCCCGAUUGCGAAGGAAGCCUGCCAAGCCAUGACUGACGCUGAUGCACGAAAGCGUGGGGAUCAAACAGGAUUAGAUACCCGGGUAGUC
rnacentral:rRNA from 1 species